rnacentral:rRNA from 1 species
AAGGGGGACCUGCGGAGGGAUCAUUACCGAGUUAUCCAACUCCCAACCCCUGUGAAUCAUACCUUUAAUUGUUGCUUCGGCGGGACUUCGCGCCCSCCGGGGACCCAAACCUUCUGAAUUUUUUAAUAAGUAUCUUCUGAGUGGUUAAAAAAAAAUGAAUCAAAACUUUCAACAACGGAUCUCUUGGUUCUGGCAUCGAUGAAGAACGCAGCGAAAUGCGAUAAGUAAUGUGAAUUGCAGAAUUCAGUGAAUCAUCGAAUCUUUGAACGCACAUUGCGCCCGUCAGUAUUCUGGCGGGCAUGCCUGUUCGAGCGUCAUUACGCCCCUCAAGUCCCCUGUGGACUUGGUGUUGGGGAUCGGCGAGGCUGGUUUUCCAGCACAGCCGUCCCUUAAAUUAAUUGGCGGUCUCGCCGUGGCCCUCCUCUGCGCAGUAGUAAAGCACUCGCAACAGGAGCCCGGCGCGGUCCACUGCCGUAAAACCCCCCAACUUUUUAUAGUUGACCUCGAAUCAGGUAGGACUACCCGCUGAACUUAAGCAUAUCAAAAAG